rnacentral:rRNA from 1 species
AUGUGUGGGGUUCUUGGGGUUCAAAUGAGGGGAAAAAGUGCCUUUCCAGCCAUGGUCCUUCCCGAGUCGGUCAGAGGGUGGCAGUCAACCUGGUUCUACUGCCAAGACCAGCUGAUGCCAGAGCAGUCGACUGGACUCCCUCCUUUUUCCAUGGACCGAGUGAGCAAGCCGUCCUCUUUGAAGGUGGUCCCGGAGGAGAAGGCGCGGGUUAAGGUGCUGGUCGAGCGUGUACUCCAGCUUAUCCGUGACGGGGUGACCGGCAUGGAUCUCUUGGAGGUCUUCCUCCGACGACGCAUCCAGCCGCUUCAAUAUCGAGACCAUCCGAUGUGGAUGUAUUCUCGUACUGAAGACACCACUCGGAUCCACCCGGAGGAGGUCGAGGAUGCCACGCUGGAGAGGUGGAUGACUGCCAUCACAGGGAGCAAGGAUAACCCUCGAGGAGCUAGGAGGAUUCCUCCACUCGACCAGUCAUAUGAAGUAGAAAAGGUCACUACCGAGAUGUAUUCGAUGCCCAACGGGGCGCAAGAACAGAUCGAGGAGGAGGAGGGGAGCGGAGGUGAAAGUCAGGAGGAGUGGCAAUCUGAUGAUGAGGAGGAUGAAGAAGACGACGACUCUGGUGAAGAGGAGGAGGAGGAAGUCGACCCUCCCUGCAUUGAAAGGCGAUCCAAGCUCGCCCAUGACCCCGCAGUCGAGCGUGGCAAAGCGACUGUGCCUGUUGGGCAGUCGACGAAACGCCCUCGGACGACCUCUCCGGCGCCGACUGAGAAAGCGCCGAAGCAAGCCCGAGCGACGUCAUCAAAGCCGACGAAGGCCCUACCGAAGAUGAGGAUGGUAAUUCCCACUAUUUCCGGUGCUGCUACCUCCGAGACCUCAGCCAGGAACAAGGACCAAGAAAUGAAAGAUGCUGCCACCUCCAACCUUGCCCCACCUCAUGUCACUGAUCUCCCUGAUGAUGAUGAUGAGGCGCUGCUGAGGCCGAGGAGGAAUAAAAAGGCGCCUGCUGUCAAAACUUCUCAAGCUACGUCAGCACCUGAGACGCUGGUUCAGGAGGGAGGCAACGUCACUCGGACUUCUGUGUCCUUUGCUGUGCCGCUGACGAGUGUUCGACCUUCAUCGUCGACUGCUUAUCCACCUUCCCUUUUCGCCACACAGCAUGUCCCAGAGGACCAAGCGGGUGCUGCUAAGGAGGCUAUACGCCAGGCGGGGUCAUGA